GUUUCCAAGCUGAAGUCCCUAAAUGGACUGGCAUUGUUUCUGAGAGUGACCCUAGAUGGCUAGGCACACAAGUAUGGCCUUUCAAUGGAGACCAUAAUGCCCUAGUUGAAACCGAUUCUAUUGGGAAGGGAAGACCCGACUUUUGUGGUUGUCAGCUUCAGGGGUCUGUUGAAUGUGUCAGAUUUCACAUUGCUGAAAACAGGAUGAAAUUGAAACUUGAACUAGGC
rnacentral:misc_RNA from 1 species